UUCGUGUGAACAGUGGUUGAUCACGAGUUAGUCGGUCCUAAGUUCAAGGCGAAAGCCGAAAAUUUUCAAGUAAAAAAAUUUGUUAUUUGAUAAAUAUAUUGAUAAUUAUACACUUGAAUAAUUUUGAACGAAAGGGAAUACGGUUCCAAUUCCGUAACCUGUUGAGUAUCCGUUUGUUAUUAAAUAUGGGCCUCGUGCUCAUCCUGGCAACAGGAACGACCAUAAAGAAGCCGUCGAGAGAUAUCGGAAGAGUUUUCUUUUCUGUUUUAUAGCCGUACUACCAUGGAAGUCUUUCGCAGAGAGAUAUGGUGGAUGGGCUAGAAGAGCAUGACAUAUACUGUUGUGUCGAUAUUUUCUCCUCGGACCUUGAAAAUUUAUGGUGGGGAUACGCAAACUUCUCAACAGGCCGUACCAAUAUCCGCAGCUGGUCUCCAAGGUGAAGAGUCUCUAGUCGAUAGAAUA
rnacentral:rRNA from 1 species